rnacentral:rRNA from 1 species
CACGCCUACGGGGGGCAGCAGUGGGGGAUAUUGCACAAUGGGGGAAACCCUGAUGCAGCGACGCCGCGUGGGUGAAGAAGCGCCUCGGCGCGUAAAGCCCUGUCAGCAGGGAAUAAAAUGACGGUACCUGAAGAAGAAGCCCCGGCUAACUACGUGCCAGCAGCCGCGGUAAUACGUAGGGGGCAAGCGUUAUCCGGAUUUACUGGGUGUAAAGGGGGCGCAGACGGCGAUGCAAGCCAGGAGUGAAAGCCCGGGGCCCAACCCCGGGACGGCUCUUGGAACUGCGGGGCGAGAGCGCAGGAGGG